rnacentral:rRNA from 1 species
GAUGAACGCUAGCGGCAGGCUUAACACAUGCAAGUCGAGGGGUAUAGUUCUUCGGAGCUAGAGACCGGCGCACGGGUGCGUAACGCGUAUGCAAUCUACCUUUUGCAGAGGGAUAGCCCAGAGAAAUUUGGAUUAAUACCUCAUGGUAUGUGAGAAUGGCAUCAUUUUCACAUUAAAGUCACAACGGCAAAAGAUGAGCAUGCGUCCCAUUAGCUAGUUGGUAAGGUAACGGCUUACCAAGGCAACGAUGGGUAGGGGUCCUGAGAGGGAGAUCCCCCAGGCUGGUACGGAGACACGGACCAGAAUGCUACGGGAGGCAGCAGUGAGGAAUAUUGGACGAUGGGCGCAAGCCUGAUCCAGCCAUGCCGCGUGCAGGAUGACGGUCCUAUGGAUUGUAAACUGCUUUUGUACAGGAAGAAACACUGGUUCGUGAACCAGCUUGACGGUACUGUAAGAAUAAGGAUCGGCUAACUCCGUGCCAGCAGCCGCCGUAAGAC